GACGAACGCUGGCGGCGUGCCUAACACAUGCAAGUCGAACGGACGAGAGGAGCUUGCUCCUCGAGUUAGUGGCGAACGGGUGAGUAACGCGUGAGCAACCUGCCUUUCAGAGGGGGACAACGGUUGGAAACGACCGCUAAUACCGCAUGAUGCAUUUUGGUCGCAUGAUCGGGAUGCCAAAGAUUUAUCGCUGAAAGAUGGGCUCGCGUCUGAUUAGAUAGUUGGUGGGGUAACGGCCUACCAAGUCGACGAUCAGUAGCCGGACUGAGAGGUUGAACGGCCACAUUGGGACUGAGAUACGGCCCAGACUCCUACGGGAGGCAGCAGUGGGGAAUAUUGGGCAAUGGGGGAAACCCUGACCCAGCAACGCCGCGUGAAGGAAGAAGGCUUUCGGGUUGUAAACUUCUUUUACCAGGGACGAAGGACGUGACGGUACCUGGAGAAAAAGCCACGGCUAACUACGUGCCAGCCGCCGCCGUAACAC
rnacentral:rRNA from 1 species